AUACGUAGGGGGCGAGCGUUGUCCGGAAUGAUUGGGCGUAAAGGGCGCGUAGGCGGCCCGGUAAGUCUGGAGUGAAAGACCUGUUUUUAAGAUGGGAAUUGCUUUGGAUACUGUCGGGCUUGAGUGCAGGAGAGGUAAGUGGAAUUCCCAGUGUAGCGGUGAAAUGCGUAGAGAUUGGGAGGAACACCAGUGGCGCGGGGGACUUACUGGACUGUAACUGACGCUGAGGCGCGAAAGUGUGGGGAGCAAACAGGAUUAGAUACCCUGGUAGUCCACACUGUAAACGAUGAAUGCUAGGUGUAGGGGGUAUCGACCCCUUCUGUGCCGCAGUCAACACAAUAAGCAUUCCGCCUGGGGAGUACGGCCGCAAGGUUGAAACUCAAAUGAAUUGACGGGG
rnacentral:rRNA from 1 species